rnacentral:misc_RNA from 1 species
UUGGGGCCGUGUUAUGCGUGC